CAGCAUUCCCGGUUGCUCGGUGGCCAUCCUGAAACCUUGUAACCCAGGAGGCCCGAGGUAGCCAAAUUCCUCCUGUCCGGCACCCUCACCCUCUUUUGCAAAGAAGGAACGUUCCAUUGCUGGGGACUGAAUGUUGGGAGCAACACGAAACUCGGAAGAGCACCAGGGUUUGCAGAAGCCAAGCGGUUCUGAGCCCGGGAGCCACAGAGGUCAAGUCCAGUCCAGUGUUCGCUGGGCAGCCCUUGGGCUGUGUGAUGAGUUAGGACACCCUGCCCACCUGACUUUUCAAGUUCAGGACUUUUCUAGGGGAUUAGAAGGCAGGGUACUCCCCUCAUCUACUUCUAUUACGCUUCUCCUGCUCGAUGGAUGGAACCACCAGAUCCCCACACUGUGCAGGCAAAGCCAGUCCCAGCCAUGAAACGUGACACCUGUGAAGAUUCUGACUGGAGGACUGUUACCCAUUAACCCAGGCCCUUUCAAUACAAUCAGGAGGUGAAUCAAAAAAGAUAUUGUGGGACUUCCCUCGUGGUGCAGUGGUUAAGAAUCUGCCUGCCAAUGCAGGGGACACGGGUUUGAGCCCUGGUCCGGGAAGAUCCCACAUGCUGCGGAGCAACUAAGCCCGUGAGCCACAACUACUGAGCCUGAGCUCUAGAGCCCGCAAGCCACAGCUACUGAGCCCGCGAGCCACAACUACUGAAGCCUGCACACCCUAGAGCCUGUGCUCUGCAACAAGAGAAGCCACUGCAAUGAGAAGCCCAUGCACUGCAAAUAAAGAGUAGCCCCCACUCGCCACAACUAGAGAUAGCCUGCGCGUAGCAACAAAGACCCAACACAGCCAAAAAUAAAUAAAUUAAUUAAUUAAAAAAAAGAUAUUGCUGAGAUUUAUGUCAGAGAGUGUUCUGCCUAUGUUUUCCUCUAAGAGUUUUAUAGUAUCCAGCCUUACAUUUAGGUCUUUAACCCAUUUUGAGUUUAUU